UACGUAGGGCGCGAGCGUUAUCCGGAAUUAUUGGGCGUAAAGAGCUCGUAGGCGGUUUGUCACGUCUGCUGUGAAAAACUGGAGGCUCAACCUCCAGCCUGCAGUGGGUACGGGCAGACUAGAGUGCGGUAGGGGAGACUGGAAUUCCUGGUGUAGCGGUGAAAUGCGCAGAUAUCAGGAGGAACACCGGUGGCGAAGGCGGAUCUCUGGGCCGAUACUGACGCUGAGGAGCGAAAGCGUGGGGAGCGAACAAG
rnacentral:rRNA from 1 species